GACGGCGUCACCUCUGGAAAAGGCCUAACGAUGACAGCAUCGGGACCGCCGUCCUCAUCGCCCAGCCGCUGCAAGAGAUGACGAGGUCAAGACGGAAUCUGGUCUUGCAAAGGGAAAGCAAAGGUGACCUUGGAGGGGAGGCCACUGGCUCAGGGGACGUGUCUGUCACCCUGACCACCGACGCUGGCCAGUGAGACGCUCCCAAACGGAACACCGAGAGAGUCAGAGGAAGGACACGGACAGACGGAAUGUUUCACAAACGCUGGUGGGAGUUCCGCCGCAUCUGGGGACACGGCCCGGGGCCCUGCUGCCGGCAGGUGGGCAAAGUCAUGGGUCUGUCCAUGCGGGACACGGCACGGGGGCUGGCGGCAAAGCGCCGGGAUUCCAGGGCCGGGAUUCUGAGGACACGGGGCGAACCCUGCCACACCGUGGAAGGAAGCAGCUGCCCCCCCCUGAGGGGACCUGUACCCGAGCUCAGUUGGACCGCCGGCCCGUGGCGGAAAAGGAUUUGAGAACUGUGGAGAAAGGUUUUAUGAAAGAUCUUAUGAAGCCGAUGACUAACUGGGACCGUCUGUGUGUGUUUUUCAUGCAUCCGUGUGUGGGCGGGGGAAGAGCGCCGAACCCAACCACUGGCCUGCCACUGGGACCUGGACGGCUCUUCCGGCGCCCCGGGAAGAGGGGGCCAGGCUGGAACCAGCUCGCCGUCCCCGGGAGAGCCGGCCACGCGGCACUCAGCGCCAGGGACCUUCCCUGUGACACGCACAGGAAGCUUGCAGACAGCAGCGUGCUGGGCCGAAUGGCGCUCCCCCCAAAGACAGGCUGACAGCCCUAACCCCCGCACCCGCCCCAGCCCCCCGUGCCGGUGCACGUGCCCCGGUGUGCAAACGGGGUCUCUGCAGAUGCGACCAAGAUCACAGCCUCGCCGGUCCCCCCGGGGGCCCUACCGCGGAGCCGAGCAUGGCGGGGCCAUCCCUGCUGCCUGGACCUGGACGCCGCAGAGCUUUGUUCUAAAUUAAUCUCGGAAGCGGUGAGAGGAGCUGGAUAUGAUGUUAACGGGAGGAGAGGGAGGAGGGAACGGGGACUACGGGGGACUACGGGGGACUCGGCCCGGCGGAAGGAGGGUCUGUGUGCCACAGGUACGUGACUUCAGUCUCCGUUGCCUGAGCGUCUCAGGGACGGUCCCAUCCUGGGGACAAUAGGAAAUACGGAACCUCAGGCUCCGUCUAGGCACAGCCCCACGGCCCUGGCCCCGAGCUGACAAGCAGGUCCUGCAACCCUCAAGCCCCAACCCCUGCCCCGCCACAGGCUACCUAGGCGGACACGAGAGCUCACGGGACAUCCCUGGUAGCCACAGAACAGUCAAGCUGUGGGGGCGGGGAGGGUGCUAGAACGUUCCCUAUGGCCUCCACCUCCAACCCCAGCCGGCCCCAGGGGAACCUUCCUUAGACGCGGCGGGUGCCCGUGUCUCACUGCCACCUGAACGGCGGCCGAGCUGCAGAAACUCUCAGCCCCGCUGCUGCUCCGGGCUGGAGCGUCGAACCGCGCCUGCUCCCCGUGGGAGGGCUGUGCCGGGGGCCGGCUGAGCACCGGGAACAACAGCGCUGGGACAGAGGGUGGCCACACUGCUGCACAGACCCCCCACGCUGGCGUGGUUCAAAUGCGUGACUUCCCUGCGGGCCAAGUGGAGGCUGAACAGAUUGCCCCAUGGAGCCCUUUGUGGGCACCCACCCUGGGCAGCCAUGGGGGGCCACAGCCAUGGAGGCUGUAGGGAGGUCCCUGGGGGCAGGAGCUGAGGAAAGUUACAGUAAAUCAGCGGAGGCCAGGCCCCUCCGAAGAGCUGACACCUCCAAGGGCAACAAAGAGCCAGUGUCUGGGCACCUGUCAUGACCAAGAGCUUCGGCAGCCCAGACUGAGCGGCAAAGGACACCUGCAGCCUCAAAGGACUCUGGCUCCUCUCUGUCUGUCCUUUCUGCCCUGACCUCGAGGUCUCACACAGGAGGGUGGGUGGAAGGACCUCUGCCCUCCCGGCUUGGGCUGCGGACACGAGGCAAAGCCUGGCCCGAGACAGAAGUGCCGAUGUGGGCCGGGCCUGCGUCAUCGCUUCCAGGAAGGGGGUCGCCGCUCCUGAAUGAGCCCGGGAC